UACGAAGGGGACUAGCGUUGUUCGGAUUUACUGGGCGUAAAGCGCGCGUAGGCGGAUCGCUAAGUCAGGGGUGAAAUCCCAGGGCUCAACCCUGGAACUGCCUUUGAUACUGACGAUCUGGAGAUCGGGAGAGGUUGGUGGAAUUCCGAGUGUAGAGGUGAAAUUCGUAGAUAUUCGGAAGAACACCAGUGGCGAAGGCGACUCACUGGACAUGUAUUGACGCUGAGGUGCGAAAGCGUGGGGAGCAAACAGG
rnacentral:rRNA from 1 species